rnacentral:rRNA from 1 species
UACGGGGGGGGCAAGCGUUGUUCGGAAUUACUGGGCGUAAAGGGCUCGUAGGUGGCCAACUAAGUCGGACGUGAAAUCCCUCAGCUUAACUGGGGAACUGCGUCCGAUACUGGAUGGCUUGAGUUUGGGAGAGGGAUGCGGAAUUCCAGGUGUAGCGGUGAAAUGCGUAGAUAUCGAGAGGAACACCUGCGGCGAAGGCGGGUAGCUGGGCCGACACUGACGCUGAGGCGCGAAAGCCAGGGGAGCGAACGGG